rfam:Dipodomys ordii contig_6497, whole genome shotgun sequence.
GGUGGCUCAGUGGUAGAGCGCUUGCCUUGCAGGCCAGAGGCCCUGGGUUCGAUUCCUCAGCACCA